GUCUAUGGCCAGACCACUCUGAACACACCUGAUCUCAUCAGAACUCAGAAACGAAGCAAGUUGGGCCUGGUUAGUACUUACUAAGAAAGUCUCUGUCAGGAAAGAGGGGCCCUGAUUG
rfam:Otolemur garnettii contig077733, whole genome shotgun sequence.